rnacentral:lncRNA from 1 species
CAUGGUUAUACUUAAGUUUGUGUUUUGGUCUGUUUUCUCAUACUUAUGCAAUAGGUUUACUAUAUUUGUUGUAUGGAAUGAUUGUAAGGUGUACAUGUCUAGCGGGCAGAUGUUAUCUGACCUUGACCUCAUUUUCAUGGUUCAGUGGUUAUAGUUAAGUUUUGGUCUGUUUUUCUCAUACUUUAUGCAAUAGGUUUACUAUAUUUGUUGUAUGGAAUGAUUGUAAGGUGUACAUGUCUAGCGGGCAGAUGUCAUCUGACCUUGACCUCAUUUUCAUGGUUCAGUGGUCAAAGUUAAGUUUUUGAGUUUUGGUCUUUUUAUCUAAUACUGUCAUAGAUCAACUAUAUUUGGUGUAUGGAAAUAUUUUAUGAUCUAUAUGUCAGUUGUGCAGGUUUUUUUUUACCUUGACCUGGUUUUCACGGUUCAUUGCUACAUAACACAGAUCAAAACUUAAGCGUUCUGGAGUGAUGCCACUUUUAGAAUAAAAAAUGUUGAAAUUUUCGUUUCCGUGUUCUGCAUCCCUUGCAUGGACACAUUUUCCAUUUGUUUUAAACUCACUUGGGCCCAACUUGAUUUGUUAAGUCCUUCCAAUUUUACUUUCUUAAAUGACUAAAAUUUCAAAAAUGUAAAGGUAUGUCAUCAUGGUCAUCUUGCUUUGCUUGGCCGUACGUUUUAUGUUUUACUUGGAAGCAUUCACCAAAUUCAAUAGACAUAAUGCAGAAGGAGGAGGGUCUUUUCAUAAAAAGUGUAGUGUACACUGUGCAACAUCAAUUGUUCAGUUUUAAUACUAGUUGUAGUA